rnacentral:rRNA from 1 species
AUUGAACGCUGGCGGCAUGCCUUACACAUGCAAGUCGAACGGCAGCACGGGAGCAAUCCUGGUGGCGAGUGGCGAACGGGUGAGUAAUAUAUCGGAACGUGCCCAGUCGUGGGGGAUAACGCAGCGAAAGCUGUGCUAAUACCUCAUACGAUCUACGGAUGAAAGCGGGGGAUCGCAAGACCUGGAGCGAAUGGAGCGGCCGAUAUCAGAUUAGCUAGUUGGUGAGGUAAAGGCUCACCAAGGCGACGAUCUGUAGCUGGUCUGAGAGGACGACCAGCCACACUGGAACUGAGACACGGUCCAGACUCCUGCGGGAGGCAGCAGUGGGGAAUUUUGGACAAUGGGCGAAAGCCUGAUCCAGCAAUGCCGCGUGCAGGAUGAAGGCCUUCGGGUUGUAAACUGCUUUUGUACGGAACGAAACGGUGAGCUCUAAUACAGUUUGCUAAUGACGGUACCGUAAGAAUAAGCACCGGCUAACUACGUGCCAGCCGCCGCAGUAA